GUGGGGAAUCUUGCGCAAUGGGCGAAAGCCUGACGCAGCCAUGCCGCGUGGAUGAUGAAGGUCUUAGGAUUGUAAAAUCCUUUCACCGGUGAAGAUAAUGACUGUAGCCGGAGAAGAAGCCCCGGCUAACUUCGUGCCAGCAGCCGCGGUAAUACGAAGGGGGCUAGCGUUGCUCGGAUUUACUGGGCGUAAAGGGCGCGUAGGCGGACAUUUAAGUCAGGGGUGAAAUCCCGGGGAUCAACCUCGGAACUGCCGUUGAUACUUGGUGUCUUGAGUAUGAGAGAGGUGUGUGGAACUCCGAGUGUAGAGGUGAAAUUCGUAGAUAUUCGGAAGAACACCAGUGGCGAAGGCGACACACUGGCUCAUUACUGACGCUGAGGCGCGAAAGCGUGGGGAGCAAACAGGAUUAGAAACCCCAGUAGUC
rnacentral:rRNA from 1 species